CCCUUAGAUGUUCUGGGCCGCACGCGCGCUACACUGACUGGUUCAUCGAGUAUACAACCUUGACUGAUAGGUCUGGGUAAUCUUCUCAAAGCCAGUCGUGCUGGGGAUAGAUUAUUGUAAUUUUUAAUCUUCAACGAGGAAUUCCUAGUAAACGCGAGUCAUCAACUCGCAUUGAUUACGUCCCUGCCCUUUGUACACACCGCCCGUCGCUACUACCGAUUGAAUGGCUUAGUGAGCCUUCUGGACUGUUGCACUUCGUUGGAAACUUCGUUGUGCAUACGGGAAGGAAAUCAAACUUGAUCAUUUAGAGGAAGUAAAAGUCGUAACA
rnacentral:rRNA from 1 species